GGAGAGUUGUCCGAGUGGUCGAAGGUGCAGCACUCGAAAUGCUGUGUGGGGUAAAACUCACCCAGGGUUCGAAUCCCUGACUCUCCGCCA
rnacentral:tRNA from 1 species